GAUGAAGAACGUAGCGAAAUGCGAUACGUAAUGUGAAUUGCAGAAUUCAGUGAAUCAUCGAAUCUUUGAACGCACAUUACGCCCCCUGGUAUUCCGGGGGGCAUGCCUGUCCGAGCGUCAUUGCUGCCCUCAAGCACGGCUUGUGUGUUGGGCCCCGUCCUCCGAUCCCGGGGGACGGGCCCGAAAGGCAGCGGCGGCACCGCGUCCGGUCCUCGAGCGUAUGGGGCUUUGUCACCCGCUCUGUAGGCCCGGCCGGCGCUUGCCGAUCAACCCAAAUUUUUAUCCAGGUUGACCUCGGAUCAGGUAGGGAUACCCGCUGAACUUAAGCAUAUCAAUAAGCGGAGGA
rnacentral:misc_RNA from 1 species